AACUAGUACUUGGACCAGUACAUACAGGCUCGAAAUUUUGUGCUUUAGUAGAAUGAGACUGGACCCAAGUUUUGCUUCACCGUGAUCACUGCCUUAAUAGAUAUCGUGGAUGUAACUAUUGACUGCGCAGAGAAAACUAUCAAAGUAAUCCUCAUAUCUCUUAAUUGAUUGAAGUCAGAAAAGUCAAUGUGGGGUGCAAAUAUCUGCUGAGGAAGAAUUUGAUGAAGGACCAAGCAAUUGUGAGAAAUAUGGUUUAGAGUUCAAAUAUUUGGGAGGUUUUGGAGCACCUACGAAGAACAGUUCUGGUUAGCUGAUGUUCAUAACAGCAAGGGAGCCCUAUCCCAGGUUGUCCAAAACCUCUCACUUAGCUUUUGUCUGUUUGUAUGCAUUUGCAAAAUACCUGGUGAACAAAUGCUGAGAGAGUAUAAGAUAAUCUUUCAUUUUAUUGUAUUGCCAAAGUGGUAUAUAUAAAGUCUUACAGAGUCCAUAUGAUCAAUGAACUUCCCCAUAUGUUCGGUCUCUUAAAUAAAGAAUUUUCUAAACUUAGAUCUACUUUGUAAAUGUGAGAUAUCUAAUGAGGAAUUUGUAACAGCUAGACCCAGUGUUCCCUUCUUUCCCUCUCUCCAUCUCUCUUUAAUUGCUUUGAUGUUAAGAUACAUAUAGAAUGAUUUAAGUGUAUUCUUCAAGAAUGUGUGUAAUUGAUUCUACUGAGUUCGCGACCUCAUUUUAAAUACCAUGCAUUGAGUUGAUAAGUUACAUAAGGCAAAA